UUGCAAUGAUUACAUUCACUUGGACACCAUAAAUAUAAUGGUCUUAGCAUUGGUUGCAGUGAAGGUUUGUAAGAAAGAUUUCCCAAUGAAAGGAGACUUCUAGAGCUAGGAAAAGAUACCUUUUUUUUAAUAGAGCAGGAAGUAUUUUUUCCUCAUUUGAAAAUAAAGAAAGGAACAUAUAUUGUGGAUGCCUACAAUUGCAACAUUAAGUUCUCCUGAAAGCUGCCCCUGCACCCCGGAUCAUCCGUGAGGACACAGCUUUUCAGGUUUUUUGAAGUUUAUUUUUUGAAAUCUGAAAAUGAACCACCUGCCCUGUCGUACCUCAAUCCGAAGGCCUACGUGCAGAGGAGCAACGGCCAAAAGCUGCUGCUGCUACUGGGGACUUAGCAACUCCAGCCAUUUGAGGAAAAGGGAAGAGUAUUGUCACGUUCCCUCUGAGGAGACCCAUGAAACAGUUCCCUUAGAGGGAAUUUCCUCACCAGAAGGACCUCUGUUGAAAAGUUCCUCCAACUUAUCUCCCUCCAGUCAGCUUGUUACACCAACCUUUGUUUCUGACAAGCAGGGUGCCCACCUUCCACCCAGAACUCUGGCCACAGACAAUUGCUCUCAGGCAGUGCAUGAACAGGAGGCAGCAGCACAGUCAUUACAGGAAGAGGAUGUCUAACCAAAUACCAAUGGUACUAUCAGCCAAACCAUUGAUGGGAAUGUUGGGGGAAAAAAACAAAAUAAACAAAAAAAAAUAACAGAAGAAAGAGGAGAGAACUCUCUGGUCUUUGCUAAAUAAACUGAAUGGAAACAAUUUUGUUGAAGUCCUACAAUGGGACGUAAAAAGGGUAUAAAUAAAUAAAUUAUUAAUUAAAUGAAUGAAUGAAUGAAAUAAAAGAGCAGAAUAUUCGUUGUCUAUGGUCCUGGCUCAUCCUCUACAAAACAUGAUCAUCCAGUUUCAGCCUCGUACUAGGAAAGCAACAACCUUUGUCCAGACUAUGUUCUGUCAAAUGGAACCCUCCAUUACCCUCAGUGUUUGUACCAUGGAUGUUGACAAUUAAGAAUGGAAUGAUGAUUUAAUAUGGAAAAUAUUUUGCCCCCAAACUUAGACUUACUUAUGAUUUAGAGGUAAUAAAUUGUAAAUAUGUGGGGAAUUCA